CCCUUAGAUGUUCUGGGCUGCACGCGUGUUACAAUCGGGAGUACAACAAGAUUGCAAAUCCUAGUGGAUGAGUGGUUCUUCGAAAUUUUCUGAAGACUGGGAUAGUUGAUUGAAAUUAUUCAACUCAAACGAGGAAUUCCUUGUAAUUGUAAUUCAUUAUAUUGUAAUGAAUACGUCCCUGCCCUUUGUACACACCGCCCGUCGCUCCUACCGAUUGAACGAUCCGGUGAAUUAUUUGGAGUAGCUCUGGGAGUUGCAGAACUUCCUAUGUCACGAAAUUUUGUAAACCUUAUCGUUUAGAGGAAGGAAAAGUCGUAACA
rnacentral:rRNA from 1 species